CAAGUUAACACGAAAAUCUAUAAAAGCGUUGUACACUGACAGUUUCGUCGCGGGGAAGUUCCAUUCUUCGGAAUCAUUCGCGAGGAUGGAAAAAAAAUAUUUCUUCGUAAAAAUAUCACUUCGUCGAGAAAUCCUAGACUCUUCUGUUCGUCCUCUGGUUGGUUAAAAAAAGAAAAAAAAUGUUUUAAAAUCUUUUCUAUUCUACGCGCGAGACCCUAAUUGCUGGGGGGGAAGAGGGCACGUAUAAAUCAGGAUUUUACGGUGGUCAGGAUGGUGGUCACAACGGAUGACACCGAGGUGUUACCAGUUGACAAAAUCUCUCGAGACAGUGGGAUGGUGGGAACGAGGAAUUCCGAUUCUAUGAGCUGUGAUCACCAGAAGACACGUUGGAAGAAACCCGCCUCUCUCGUCACGCUCGCUUCCGCCAUAAUUCGGUUCGGCCGACAGCUCGGAAUGUUUAUACCUUGUGGAUACUUUACCUGGCCAAGAGAUGCUUUAAACCUGUGAUAUAUAAACGAGUGGUCGACUAAUCCCUUCCACUCUUCUGCGGGCCCACCAUCUCUUCGGGUUCACCAUCUCUUCGAAAAUAGCUUCUCUUUGAAAUAUAUAUAAUCAUUUUAUCUUUCCUUAAGAAUUCGAAAAGAAGAUUUUCUUCCCGUAAUUUGAAGAUUGUUAUAAAGCAGUUACGCAUCAUUUAAAAGAAGAAAGUUUGGCUUUAACGUCACUAAGUUAAUAACGGUACUUUUUCCCUUUUUUUACUUUCGAUCCCUAAAGAGAAAUUACGCGAGACUCUGCAUUACAGACAUCGAAUUGCUGAAUAUAAAAAAGCAUGGAAUAAUUCUAAACCCAUUAACAACAGUGCACGCACGCAUUUUCACGAAAUUUAUUUUCGACGCGUGUUUCUCAAAAAAAAAAAAAAAAAAAUAAAACAAACUUGACAAACAGCUCGCUGCAUUCGCUGACCUGCGCGCUCAAUAUCCAGCAAGAAAAUCGUAUUCAAAUUCCUGAGCACACUUAAAGCAGAGAAAAUGUCUAAACCCAUUACAACAACCCGCGCGUAUUUCCAUAAAUUUCACUUUUGACGGGCGUUUCUUAAAAGGAACGAAGUUUCCAUAAAUUGCGCGGGGCGAUAAAUUAGAUCAUCAUUAGCCCGUAAUUUACAGAGGAGGAAACGCGUAUUUCGUACGUAUACCAAUACGAAAACACGUUUCAUAAUCACGUUUGCGUUUUCUUGUUUUCAGAGAGGGGAAACGCCAACCGCUUGACGCUCGGUCGCGGCAUUAUUCAGAAACGUGUGUUUCCGCGUGUUUCUACGUGCUCUCGUUAAUCCUGUGAUUAAUGCUACUUUUGCAACGCGCCCGGCGAAAGAGAAGCCGCGCUGUAACAACGGAGUGGGCCAAGUUAUCCGGGCAAAAGCGAGGCCAACAAACACCGCUGCUUUGUGGCAAUUACUUUUAAAUAUACUCUUGACGAGAUGGCCGCUCGCUCCACCGCGUGUACAACCUCCACCUUCGUUGGUUAAAAGUGCACCAAGGAUAGGAGGGUGGUUCUCUUCACCGCCGAGAAACGCCAACGUUGGAGGACGCAACAACCAAUUGUGUGUACGUAUGAGAGAGGGAAAGAGAGAGAGAGCCUUUCUGGAAAUUAAACUCAUUGAGAAUCUAAUUUCGAGUAAUCAACCCUUCGCCGGCUUUCCACCUAUACUUUCCGAGGACUUGUUUCCUUUCACCGCCCUGUAUAUGUAUAUUCUUCGUUCCACAACUCGGACAGCUGCGGGGGGGGAACGAAUGCACGUGUAAUUAACCUAACGACGCAAAUGAUAUAAAGGAAUCGUAGUAUAUCCCGGAGGCGUGUUGUUCCUUUUUACCUUACAAGAGCGGGAAUAGUUUCGAGUUUCCGUUCUUUUUCCGUAAUUUGAACCGCGGUGCACGAUUACCACCGGGGCGACCGAUAACAGUAAUUAUCGUCCCGGGAAUAUACGCGGGAAUCGGAUAUCGUCGAUAAAAGAAUAAUUCAGGUGAAUUUGCCCUUUUGUACGUACGCACGCAUCCAGUUAUUGAUCGAAAAGUAAUUAAAAUGUAAUAGUACAAACAGAACGGAUGGAAACCGGCCGGAUAUAAAUCAAAUAUUGAUUCGUUAAAUACGCCGAUUUUCAUUCGGGGGAGGGAGGGGGGUGGCUCACGUUAGGAUCACUCGCGAUAACGAUUCCUUUGUUCGAUUCUCGAUGGUGGUGAUGAUGGCGCUCCCGUGUUAAUGCGUCCACGAUUAACGCGAUUAAACCCGGAUUCGAUCCUUUCUUUUCGAUUAACCAUUGGGAGGAAGACGAACGGUUAACGAUGGCCGGCCGUUCACGUUCUAUAAAGCCAUUAUAUAAGGAGGAGGGUUAAGCGAAUGCGCGCCGUGAUUCCUCGGGACAUCCUCGCACCGUUCUUCGUUACACGGCUAAUAAAUAAGAUGUACGCGGCCGCUUGCUCGCGCGGUACAACAUCAUGGCGGCGUGCACGGCGCGAUUUCAAUAUUCCCGUCCCGAACUGGUAUUUGUAUCGGGCGGGUAUACACGCGACAGGGCCGAUUCGUAAUAAUUUACAACGGAGAAUUAAUUUUAUAGAAAGGGAAACGGGUGUGUAUGCGGCGUCCACCUCAUUUACAUAACAUGAAUAAUUAUUAAUAGUUCCUCGUUCGACCUCUCUCUCUCUCUUUCUCUCUCUUUCGCUCUUUCUGUUCGUGAAUCGAUACAGGAUUCCUUUUCACGUGUCCGUCUUAACGUGUAACGCUUAACAACAUCGUGGAGUGAAUUUAUUGGAAGAGAAAGGGAAAGAGAAAUUGGAGAUUUGUAUUUUGUAUUUGUAUUUGUAUACAACUCGGAUCCCCUAAUUUAUAUUUCCACAGUUUCAGAAUCAUUGGUUCUUCUCGCAUCGAGCGUUUCGCGGUUUCAUCGUGUUUCGGUUUGAAAAAGAAUAUAAACGCGGACGUUUCGGAGAGGAAUAAUUGCAUAUCGAUAUACGACGCAUAAAACGACGGCAAUAACGCCUAAUUGAAUAACGAGAGGGAGCGCGCGCCAGGAUAUUGUUGUAUGGGAUAUGGGUGAAGUUGAGCGUGCAUUAUAGAAAGGUCAAACUGGGAAACGGUUGGAAAUGAUUCGCAGACAACGAUAAUAUCGUUUAACGGUUCAUCGAAUAUCGUAAUCAACAAUUGAACAAGAUAAUCACGUAACGAUAUUUAAUUACCUGCGCAUUAUCGUGGCGCAAGCCCUUACAAAACGAAACGUGACAACCGGGCCGGUCUCUGCUCUUUCACCCGCCCCCUUUCCGCCUGAUUUGUUUUGAAUAUUUUAAAUCCACGGCCGGGAUAGCGCAUGAUUAUGCGGUUAAAUAAUAAUAACGCUUAUCUUUUGUACACGUGUCAUCGAUGUUUCACAUCCGCAAUUGAUGAUCGCCAAUUCGAUUAAGCAAAAAGGUUUCGAAAACUGACGUUUCAUAUUUCCACGUUUCGCUUCAGCCACUUCGGUCGGAAACCAAUGAUUAAUUUUCUUCGUAACGGCAUCAUCAACGAUGCGAGUUAAUUCCGAUGGAUCGACUCUUCCGGAG